CAUAUUAUUUCUUCAUUUAAAGUAUGUUUAUCUUUUGUUUUUCAAUGGUUGAAAAAAUAUAAAUCAAGAGUUGAAAAAGAUAUGCAUGUAAAAAGGUGUUUUGGAUGCAUGAAUGAAGAGUAAGUUAUGAACAAAAUUUGGGGUUUUGUUCCUUGUGGGUAGGCACGGCAUUAAGGGGGUUUUUGUGGCAUGUGUUUGUGUUUUGUUGUAAGACACUCACACAUCAUUUUAAAGCUAGAAAGUAGAGCCCUUGUCACUUUAGUUUUUGGGUUUGAAAAAUCACCAAGAAUACACAAAUCUUGAAAAUGUGUUCAUGGUUUUGUUCUUGGUGUUCAUGGUUUGUUUUUGGUGAAAAUGGUUUUAUUAGGUUUUCAUGCAAAUUGUUUUAUGGUUUUUGGAUGAUGUUCUUAUCCAUCCAUAACCUUCCCAAAAAUUUAUUAAAAACCCUAGACUUGACUAGGAAAUUUCCAUCAAUCCUUUUCACCUAAGUUUUAAUGCCAAAACCAAGUGACAAGCAAAUUUGGAUUUUUUCUACUUUGCAUUGAAUUAAAGCAAGAUGGGUGAGACUUCCCAUCUCCCCUUAAUGUGGCCGGCCACCCUAGUGGAUUUAUCCACUUGGGGGGUUUUUUGUAAUUUGAAAAAGAUAUUUUAUACUUUUGAGUAUUUACGGUUUGACCCCUAACAUUUUCUUAUUUGCAUUUAGGCCCCUACUAACUAGAAAG
rnacentral:lncRNA from 1 species